rnacentral:rRNA from 1 species
AGACAAGGUGCAAGACAAUAGACAAGAUACAAUUCAAGUGUCAACAACCAUUUUAUGUAGCAUCCAAGGUCUACAGGUGUGAAGGGGGAUGCAAGAAUAGGGGCAUGAUACAAGUCAGGUUCUGAAACAAUUCGUUAGAGGGGGCAAUUUCUGCAAGUAGUAGAUCAAGGAUAGGUACAGAUAGGGAAAUCCACAAGUUCUAGAACUAAGUUCAUGGAGAAAACAAAUUGGAACAACAUGUUAUCUUUUGCUGUUCACACAGGAGAAAUUUGCCAAGCUUUGGCAAUUUUUUUGCCUACAAUCUCCAGAUUUUUUGCCUGACCAGCAAGAAAGAGUUGCAGACACAAUUGCGUUUUCCAGGAUUUUUUGCUUUGAUUUUCGCCUUCUUUUACUCUGUUUUUUCGCUGCUGUGGUACGGGUGCUGAUCAGGUGGAGCGUGGGGUUUUCUGAUGGUGUGUUGGGAGAGGUGGUGGGGAAUCACGUGAGGCAGAGAGGGCGUUGGCUGUCGGGACGCGGCAACGACAGGGGAAGGAGAACCUGCCUUUUUUGAAGCACAUGGGCCGGGACCGAGAGAAGGACUUUCCUUAACUGCCGGCCACGAGAUGCGCACGCAUAGCGCGCAGCGCCCAAAAAAAAGGUACCGACCGUGGUUUGAGAAUCACGGGGAUGCUGGCGCUGAAGCGGCUCAUGAACAGCCAACAGCGGGAGAGGCGGCGCCGUCGCAGACUCCAAGCUCGUGAUGGAUCGAUUACUUCUACAUCCAAAAGAGACGACUGGCUUCUCUGUCGAGAAGAUGGUAAAUCUCUUCUUUGUGGUAAGCGAUUGAGAGAUUCAGUGUCAAACCUCCCACAGGUAUGUUACAGUAUAACAUAUUGGUUGCAGGGGACUUAUAUUGCAAGUAAAAUAUCACUUUGUUCUAACUACACAAAUUGAUGUCGACCUAAGUUUGGUAGCUAUAAGGCCACUUGCAAUGCAUAGUGUCAUGUAGCCGUAUCAUAGUGCAUGAUACUACUUUAGUGCAUGAUACUACUUUAGUUUGUACAAUCACAUUACAUAGUAUCGUACACUGGUGUUACAUUGUCAUUUCAUUUAUUUAUUGUGGAAUCCGUCGCAUUAACCAUUUGCCCUUAUGACCCAAAUGAUGAUCGAUCUUUCAUGCUUCUGCAGGACAUCUGGUGCCACAUACAUUCUCUGAUGCCAAUGCAAGAUUCUGCUCGUUCUGCUUGUGUAUCACAUGCAUUUCUAGAUUCAUGGAGACACCAUCCGAACCUCAUCUUAAAUAAGAAAACGCUGGGCUUGGAACAAAAUGCAUGUGGAAAGGGUGAUAUGGCGAGGGCUUUCACUAGCAAAGUUGACCAGAUUCUGAAAAACCACUCACACACUGCCACGAAGAUACUCAAGCUUGACAUGUUUGAUUGUCACGAUUUCUACAUUUCUUGUCUCAAUAAUUGGCUUGAGAUUGCUAUUACACCAGGGAUUGAAAAACUGGUCCUUUUUCUGCCUUCGGGAUACCAAGAAGUGUACACCUUCCCAUGCUCACGUUUAUUUGGUCAGAAUGGAAGCUCACUUCGGUAUCUUCAUCUCAAUUACUGCACCUUCCGUCCUACAGUUGGAUUUGGUUUCUUGAGAAGCUUAACAAAGCUGUAUUUGCGUAAUGUGAGGAUUACAGGGGGAGAGUUAGGGUGCCUUCUUUCUAAUUCUUUGGCUUUGCAGCGGUUGGAACUCAGGUAUUGCAGUGAAAUAAUCUGCCUGAAGAUACCAUGCGUGCUGGAGCGACUAAGCUGCCUCACUGUUUCUGCAUGCAAUGCGCUGCAAAUUGUUGAGAGCAAUGCUCCGAACCUCUCCACCUUCAACUUUGAUGGCGACAUAGUACAGCGCUCUCUCAGACAACCAUUGCAAGUUAAGGACCUAUAUAUGAUAUGUCCAAAUGAGUCAAACCUUCUCUGCUACGCUAUUACCAAGCUUCCAUAUGUUGUGUCAAACAUUGAAGAUCUUAGAUUGUCUUCAAUUAGUGGUGAGAGGGUUAAUACACCGAUGCCAGCUGCGAAAUUCCUCCACCUCAAGUUCUUGGAAAUUUAUCUUGAUGGAGAUCUUUCCCCAGGAUAUGAUUAUUUGUCUUUGGUUUCUUUUCUCGAUGCUUCUCCUGCUUUGGAGACUUUCAUCUUCCGUGUGGAUCAGGAUGAAAUGCUGUUUGAUUCGAUUUCGGGGGGUGCCUUACAAAUGAGGAAGAUGCCUGAACACAAGCAUGACAGCCUCAAGAAUGUGAAGAUUCUUGGCUUCUGCUCUGCAAAGAGCAUGGUUGAGCUAACAUGCCAUAUUCUAGAGAAUGCUACAUCACUGGAAUGUAUCACCUUGGACACCAUAUAUGAUGCAGAAGACGAAGACUUUGUCGGUAGAUGUUCUGAAACUUCUGCAUGGAGAUCCGAACCUGGCAAGCCGUAUAGGAGAAGUGCAAGAGUUACAAGUCACUCUGCCUAAUGGGUUUAUAGCAGAGUUAAUUCAGGUGAGAGUUAAGCUGGAUGUGCAUAAGAAAUUAACCUCGGUAGUGAGAUUUACAAAGGCUGGGAGACAGAAAAGUAUAAGGUGAAAUUUGAAAAACUUCCAACCUUUUGCCAUGCCUGCGGUAUAAUUGGACACUCGCAUGAAGAGUGCGGAUCAGGUGAGCACGAUGUAACCAAAUUUGGAUGGGGUCCAUUUUUAUUAGCUCAUCGUAGAGGCAAUGGAGGUAGUUGAGGACUACCAUUUCAAGUUUGCCAUCCUCAUUCUUCUUUUGUGGGGAAUUAUCAUCCGACAAUGAGUCCUCAGAGAACAAAUCAAUGAGAGAGUUUAUCUAUAAUGCAGAAAUCCUUUGGGACAUUAAAGAAAUGUGCGAGCUAAUUCGUCGAAUACCUUGGGGAUGAAAAAAAGCAUCGACGAAGCAGCAUGUGUUGGGAAACGUAUUAGAAAACAAAGAAAAUGCGCCCUACGAUCAAACAGGAACCUAUGAAGAUGUGGUUUGGAUCAGAUCGUUACCAACUCCGAGUUGCAGCGGAAGAAGAGUCGGUGUAGAUCGCACUUGAAGUCACUCGAACCCUGGAUGAACGAUUCCGCAAACUGCUCACGAACAGUCACUCGAAUGGAAGACCAAAAGCAUGCCCUCUCCACGGUUUGCAAGCAUACAGUCUUCAAGAUCCGGCAACGCUUCACCGUCCAGAACUAAUCAUCGCCGGAGAAUUAGAGGGAGGAGAUUAGAACCACGAUGUGCUUCUAAUUAUGAGGAUUAGAGGAUCUAUAUCUAGCUCUAAUUGAAACAAUUAGAACUAGAGGAGGCUCCAAAAACUUAUGUAUUCAAAAGUGCCUAUAACCUCUACUUCCUCCAUUUUUGUAUACAAGGCCACUAUCAAAAUUACAAUUUGCAGCUAUACAAGGCCACU